rnacentral:rRNA from 1 species
CCUACGGGUGGCUGCAGUGAGGAAUAUUGGUCACUGGACGCGAGCCUGAACCAGCCAAGUCGCGUGAAGGAUGACUGCCCUACGAGUUGUAAACUUCUUUUAUACAAGAAUAAAGUGAGGCACGUGUGCCUUUUUGUAUGUACUUUAUGAAUAAGGAUCGGCUAACUCCGUGCCAGCAGCCGCGGUAAUACGGAGGAGUCGAGCGGUAUCCGGAUUUAUUGGGUUUAAAGGGAGCGUAGGCGGGCUGUUAAGUUAGUUGUGAAAGUCUGCGGUUCAACCGUAGAAUUGCCAUUGAUACUGGUAGCCUAGAGUACAGUUGCGGUAGGCGGAAUGCGUGGUGUAGCGGUGAAAUGCUUAG